rnacentral:rRNA from 1 species
UACGUAGGGUGCAAGCGUUAAUCGGAAUUAUUGGGCGUAAAGCGUGCGCAGGCGGUUCGGAAAGAAAGAUGUGAAAUCCCAGGGCUUAACCUUGGAACUGCAUUUUUAACUACCGGGCUAGAGUGUGUCAGAGGGGGGUGGAAUUCCACGUGUAGCAGUGAAAUGCGUAGAGAUGUGGAGGAACACCGAUGGCGAAGGCAGCCCCCUGGGAUAACACUGACGCUCAUGCACGAAAGCGUGGGGAGCAAACAGG